rnacentral:rRNA from 1 species
CGAACGCUGGCGGCGUGCUUAACACAUGCAAGUCGAACGAGACGAUUUAGAAGCUUGCUUUUAUUGAGUCGAGUGGCAAACGGGUGAGUAACGCGUAGGCAACCUGCCUUCGAGAUGGGGACAACAGUCCGAAAGGACUGCUAAUACCGAAUGUUGUGACGAAACCACAUGGAUUCGUCAUUAAAGAUGGCCUCUACUUGUAAGCUAUCGCUCGAAGAUGGGCCUGCGUCUGAUUAGCUGGUUGGUGGGGCAACGGCCUACCAAGGCGACGAUCAGUAGCCGGUCUGAGAGGAUGAACGGCCACAUUGGAACUGAGACACGGUCCCAGACUCCUACGGGAGGCAGCAGUGGGGAAUCUUCCGCAAUGGGCGAAAGCCUGACGGAGCAACGCCGCGUGAGUGAAGAAGGCCUUCGGGUCGUAAAGCUCUGUUGAAGGGGACGAAUGUCAAGACUAUCAACAACGGUUUUGAAUGACGGUACCUUUCGAGGAAGCCACGGCUAACUACGUG